ACCGGCGGCUCGAGUGGUAACCGUUAUUAUUGGGUCUAAAGGGUCUGUAGCCGGCCGGAUAAGUCUCUUGAGAAAUCUGGCAGCUUAACUGUCAGGCUUUCAGGAGAUACUGUCAGACUCGAGGCCGGGAGAGGUGAGAGGUACUUCCGGGGUAGGGGUGAAAUCUUAUAAUCCUUGAAGGACCACCAGUGGCGAAGGCGCCUAACUAGAACGGACCUGACAGUAAGGGACGAAAGCUAGGGGCACGAACCG
rnacentral:rRNA from 1 species